UCCCGCUGAACUUAUGCAUAUCAAUAAGCGGAGGAAAAGAAACUAACAAGGAUUCCCCUAGUAACUGCGAGUGAAGCGGGAAAAGCUCAAAUUUAAAAUCUGAGGGUCUGUGUAGCCUUCCGAAUUGUAUUCUAGAGAAGUGUUAUCCGCGCUGGACCGUGUACAAGUCUCCUGGAACGGAGCGUCAUAGAGGGUGAGAAUCCCGUCUUUGACACGGACUACCAGGGCUUAUGUGAUGCGCUCUCAAAGAGUCGAGUUGUUUGGGAAUGCAGCUCUAAAUGGGUGGUAAAUUCCAUCUAAAGCUAAAUAUUGGCGAGAGACCGAUAGCGAACAAGUACCGUGAGGGAAAGAUGAAAAGAACUUUGGAAAGAGAGUUAAACAGUACGUGAAAUUGUUGAAAGGGAAACGCUUGAAGUCAGUCGCGUUGUCCAGAAAUCAACCUUGCUUCUGCCUGGUGUACUUUUUGGGCAACGGGUCAGCAUCAAUUUUGACCGGUGGAUAAAGGUCAGGGGAAUGUGGCAUUUUUAUUGAAUGUGUUAUAGCCCUUGGUUGCAUACAUCGGUUGGGAUUGAGGAACUCAGCAUGCCGCAAGGCCGGGUCUUUUGAUCACGUACAUGCUUAGGAUGCUGGCAUAAUGGCCUUAAUCGACCCGUCUUGAAAGGCGG
rnacentral:rRNA from 1 species